GAUGAAGAACGCAGCGAAAUGCGAUAAGUAAUGUGAAUUGCAGAAUUCAGUGAAUCAUCGAAUCUUUGAACGCACAUUGCGCCCGCUAGUAUUCUGGCGGGCAUGCCUGUUCGAGCGUCAUUACAACCCUCAGGCCCCCGGGCCUGGCGUUGGGGAUCGGCGGAGCCCCCCGUGGGCACACGCCGUCCCCCAAAUGCAGUGGCGGUCCCGCCGCAGCUUCCAUCGCGUAGCAGCUAACACCUCGCGACUGGAGAGCGGCGCGGCCACGCCGUAAAACACCCAACUCUUCUGAAGUUGACCUCGAAUCAGGUAGGAAUACCCGCUGAACUUAAGCAUAUCAAUAAGCGGAGGA
rnacentral:misc_RNA from 1 species